UAGGGAAUCUUCGGCAAUGGGGGGAACCCUGACCGAGCAACGCCGCGCGAGUGAAGAAGGUUUUCGGAUCGUAAAGCUCUGUUGUUAAGGAAGAACGAGUGUGAGAAUGGAAAGUUCAUGCUGUGACGGUACUUAACCAGAAAGGGACGGCUAACUACGUGCCAGCAGCCGCGGUAAUACGUAGGUCCCGAGCGUUGUCCGGAUUUAUUGGGCGUAAAGCGAGCGCAGGCGGUUAGAAAAGUCUGAAGUGAAAGGCAGUGGCUCAACCAUUGUAGGCUUUGGAAACUGUUUAACUUGAGUGCGGAAGGGGAGAGUGGAAUUCCAUGUGUAGCGGUGAAAUGCGUAGAUAUAUGGAGGAACACCGGUGGCGAAAGCGGCUCUCUGGUCUGUAACUGACGCUGAGGCUCGAAAGCGUGGGGAGCGAACAGG
rnacentral:rRNA from 1 species